UUGAUUUUAUGCUUGCAUAAAUGAUUUUUGGAUUCGGAGCGAGUGGCGAACUGGUGAGUAACACGUGGGUAACCUGCCCCGAAGCGGGGGAUAACAUUUGGAAACAAGUGCUAAUACCGCAUAAUUAGUUGGAACCGCAUGGUUCCAACUUGAAAGAUGGCUCUGCUAUCACUUUGGGAUGGACCCGCGCCGUAUUAGUUAGUUGGUGAGAUAAAAGCCCACCAAGACGAUGAUACGUAGCCGACCUGAGAGGGUAAUCGGCCACAUUGGGACUGAGACACGGCCCAGACUCCUACGGGAGGCAGCAGUAGGGAAUCUUCCACAAUGGACGAAAGUCUGAUGGAGCAACGCCGCGUGAGUGAUGAAGGUUUUCGGAUCGUAAAACUCUGUUGUUAAAGAAGAACAAGUGUUAGAGUAACUGUUAACACUUUGACGGUAUUUAACCAGAAAGCCACGGCUAACUACGUGCCAGCAGCCGCGGUAAUACGUAGGUGGCAAGCGUUGUCCGGAUUUAUUGGGCGUAAAGCGAGCGCAGGCGGUUUUGUAAGUCUGCUGUGAAAGCCCUCAGCUCAACUGAGGAAGUGCAGUGGAAACUACAAAACUUGAGUACAGAAGAGGAAAGUGGAACUCCAUGUGUAGCGGUGAAAUGCGUAGAUAUAUGGAAGAACACCAGUGGCGAAGGCGGCUUUCUGGUCUGUUACUGACGCUGAGGCUCGAAAGCAUGGGUAGCGAACAGGAUUAGAUACCCUGGUAGUCCAUGCCGUAAACGAUGAAUACUAGGUGUUGGAGGGUUUCCGCCUUCAGUGCCGCAGCUAACGCAUUAAGUAUUCCGCCUGGGGAGUACGACCGCAAGGUUGAAACUCAAAGGAAUUGACGGGGGCCCGCACAAGUGGUGGAGCAUGUGGUUUAAUUCGAUGCUACGCGAAGAACCUUACCAGCUCUUGACAUCUUCUGCCAACCCAAGAGAUUGGGCGUUCCCUUCGGGGACAGAAUGACAGGUGGUGCAUGGUUGUCGUCAGCUCGUGUCGUGAGAUGUUGGGUUAAGUCCCGCAACGAGCGCAACCCUUAUUAUUAGUUGCCAGCAUUUAGUUGGGCACUCUAGUGAGACUGCCGGUGAUAAACCGGAGGAAGGUGGGGACGACGUCAAAUCAUCAUGCCCCUUAUGAGCUGGGCUACACACGUGCUACAAUGGAUGGUACAACGAGUCGCGAAACCGCGAGGUCAAGCUAAUCUCUUAAAGCCAUUCUCAGUUCGGAUUGCAGGCUGCAACUCGCCUGCAUGAAGUUGGAAUCACUAGUAAUCGUGGAUCAGCAUGCCACGGUGAAUACGUUCCCGGGCCUUGUACACACCGCCCGUC
rnacentral:rRNA from 2 species